AGAUUGAACGCUAGCGGGAUGCUUUACACAUGCAAGUCGAGCGGCAGCACGGGUACUUGUACCUGGUGGCGAGCGGCGGACGGGUGAGUAAUGCCUAGGAAUCUGCCUGGUAGUGGGGGAUAACGCUCGGAAACGGACGCUAAUACCGCAUACGUCCUACGGGAGAAAGCAGGGGACCUUCGGGCCUUGCGCUAUCAGAUGAGCCUAGGUCGGAUUAGCUAGUUGGUGAGGUAAUGGCUCACCAAGGCGACGAUCCGUAACUGGUCUGAGAGGAUGAUCAGUCACGACUGGAACUGAGACACGGUCAGACCUCCGUACGGGAGCAGCGAGGUGGGAAUAGUGGACAAGUGGGACGAAAGCUGACUCCAGCCAUGCCGCGUG
rnacentral:rRNA from 1 species